GGUUAAGCGACUAAGCGUACACGGUGGAUGCCCUGGCAGUCAGAGGCGAUGAAGGACGUGCUAAUCUGCGAAAAGCGUCGGUAAGGUGAUAUGAACCGUUAUAACCGGCGAUGUCCGAAUGGGGAAACCCAGUGCAAUUCGUUGCACUAUCGUUAACUGAAUACAUAGGUUAACGAGGCGAACCGGGGGAACUGAAACAUCUAAGUACCCCGAGGAAAAGAAAUCAACCGAGAUUCCCCCAGUAGCGGCGAGCGAACGGGGAGCAGCCCAGAGUCUGAAUCAGCUUGUGUGUUAGUGGAACGGUCUGGAAAGUCCGACGGUACAGGGUGAUAGUCCCGUACACCAAAAUGCACAGGUUGUGAACUCGAAGAGUAGGGCGGGACACGUGGUAUCCUGUCUGAAUAUGGGGGGACCAUCCUCCAAGGCUAAAUACUCCUGACUGACCGAUAGUGAACCAGUACCGUGAGGGAAAGGCGAAAAGAACCCCGGCGAGGGGAGUGAAAAAGAACCUGAAACCGUGUACGUACAAGCAGUGGGAGCACCUUCGGGUGUGACUGCGUACCUUUUGUAUAAUGGGUCAGCGACUUAUAUUCUGUAGCAAGGUUAACCGUAUAGGGGAGCCGCAGGGAAACCGAGUCUUAACUGGGCGUUAAGUUGCAGGGUAUAGACCCGAAACCCGGUGAUCUAGCCAUGGGCAGGUUGAAGGUUGGGUAACACUAACUGGAGGACCGAACCGACUAAUGUUGAAAAAUUAGCGGAUGACUUGUGGCUGGGGGUGAAAGGCCAAUCAAACCGGGAGAUAGCUGGUUCUCCCCGAAAGCUAUUUAGGUAGCGCCUCGUGAACUCAUCUUCGGGGGUAGAGCACUGUUUCGGCUAGGGGGUCAUCCCGACUUACCAACCCGAUGCAAACUACGAAUACCGAAGAAUGUUAUCACGGGAGACACACGGCGGGUGCUAACGUCCGUCGUGAAGAGGGAAACAACCCAGACCGCCAGCUAAGGUCCCAAAGUCAUGGUUAAGUGGGAAACGAUGUGGGAAGGCACAGACAGCCAGGAUGUUGGCUUAGAAGCAGCCAUCAUUUAAAGAAAGCGUAAUAGCUCACUGGUCGAGUCGGCCUGCGCGGAAGAUGUAACGGGGCUAAACCAUGCACCGAAGCUGCGGCAGCGACACUAUGUGUUGUUGGGUAGGGGAGCGUUCUGUAAGCCUGCGAAGGUGUGCUGUGAGGCAUGCUGGAGGUAUCAGAAGUGCGAAUGCUGACAUAAGUAACGAUAAAGCGGGUGAAAAGCCCGCUCGCCGGAAGACCAAGGGUUCCUGUCCAACGUUAAUCGGGGCAGGGUGAGUCGACCCCUAAGGCGAGGCCGAAAGGCGUAGUCGAUGGGAAACAGGUUAAUAUUCCUGUACUUGGUGUUACUGCGAAGGGGGGACGGAGAAGGCUAUGUUAGCCGGGCGACGGUUGUCCCG
rnacentral:rRNA from 1 species